rnacentral:rRNA from 1 species
GUUAAAAAGCUCGUAGUUGGAUUUCUGUCAGCGAGUGGCGCUCCGCCCCCUGUGGUGAGUAGUCGUCAUGCCGCCGGCAUCUUUCUGGGGAGCGUGUCUGCACUUCAUUGUGUGGUGCGCAAGCCAGAACUUUUACUUUGAGGAAAUGAGAGUGUUUCAAGCAGGCAAUCGCCGUGAAUACGUUAGCAUGGAAUAAUAGCAUCGGACCUCGUCCCAAAGCUGUUGGUUCCUUGGGGUGAGGUAAAGGUGAAUAGG